ensembl:lncRNA
UUUAUUUCUGUUAAAUUAUAUAAUUUGGUUGUUUUUGUCAUUUCUAUUAGAUUUUAUUUUCAAAAAUGUCUACAUUGUAUUAUAUUUAUACAUAUUAAAUCAAUGUUUAUUAUGGUUUUAGUUUUAGGCUGCAUUUACACUGCAGGUCUUGAUGCCCAAAUCCGAUUUUCUGACUAUAUCCAAUUUUUUUGACGACCCGCUUACAUCAUCUUUUAAAAGUGACCCGUAUCUGAUUUUUGCAUUUACACUAUACACUGCUGAAACUACCAAACGUAGACGUUCUGACUCGGAAAAGGAAGUAAAACAGCACGAAAUACAAUGGAUGCAGAUGCAAAUAAAAUUAAACAGUGUUUUGCUUUCCAUAAUAUAUUGAAAAGUCAACAAAAAAAAAAUCAGCAAAACAUUGGUCUCGUACGGCGGAGAAAAAAGCGCUUAAACCGUGCCUCCCCAUAUCUCGUGAAAUGUCUUCAAACUUAUUUAUUUCUGUAACAACCCUGCAUUUUUGCCUGCACUGUCUCUUCGCCCCAAAGACUUAAAAGACAUGAAACCUCCGCAUUGCUCCACUGUGUGUAUCCUUCGUCCUCUAUCACGCCUAUAAUAAGUCAUGUGAUCUCAGUUGGUGGUGUCCACCUGAGUUGACGUCACUUUUUUAAUGACGUACGACUCGCAUUUACUGGGAAUAUCCGAUUUGUCUGCUUACAUGGCACACGCAAAUGCACGUAUCCGAUUCAUAUCCGAUUUAUUACCACAUAUGAAUGAGGCCUGAAUCCGAUCUGAGAAAAUCGGAAUCCAUGCGGUUUUUUCCUGCUUACACGUUCACCGGUCAUAUCCGAUCUGUGCCACAUGAGAGGAAAAAAUCGGAAUUGGGUCACUUGAACCAUGCAGUGUAAAUGGGGCCUUAGUUAACUAAUAACCAUUCGUAGUAAAUGCUUAGUAGUAGUAGUCUACAUAGUUAUAUACAGCACAUGGUAGAUAUUAGUACAUACUAGUCAUAAUGCAUACUACUAGGAAGCAAGCAAAGAUACUAAAGUGUGCAUUCAAAAUGGUUUAUGCAGUACAAGGAUAUUCUACUAAAGAUGUGAAUGUAUGUUCUUUGACAGCUCCUAAAUGGUUUGCAGUGCAGGAAACAGGAGUCAGUCUGCCCCCAACUCCUGCUGAAGACAGCCAUCAGACACAACAGGAUGAUACUGCUUACAGUUGCCAUGGAAAUCCAAGUCACCGUAUCCACCAGAUCCAGUCUGUAUCCAAGUCAGAGGGUCACUGAAGUCACCCAGAUCCAGUACGUAUCCAGACCAGAUGGUGGAUCAGCACCUAGAAAGGACCUCUACAGCCCUGAAAGACAGCGGAGACCAGGACAACUAGAGCUCCAGACACAGAUCCCCUGUAAAGACCUUGUCUCAGACGACCACCGGGACAAGACCACAGGAAACUAGAGUGACCACCUGUCCUGCUUUACAUUGUACUGUACAGCAAUUUUACCCUUUGUCCCGCCUCAUGCAAAUUAAGCAUCUGUCCCGCUUUUUCACACUGAUACGUUCAAAGGCGUACUGUUAACUUAUGUCCAAUAGUUCAGAGGAGAGCAAUAAAAGCGUUAGUCGAUAGGCUGAGUCGUACGCCAAUCAAACUGUUGACUGGUGCACGAACACCUCCUCAACACUGUCAACAAUCUCAACUUGGAGAGCACGCACGCUG